CCUACGGGAGGCUGCAGUAAGGAAUAUUGGUCAAUGGAGGAAACUCUGAACCAGCCAUCCCGCGUGAAGGAUGAAGGGGCUCUGCCUUGUAAACUUCUUUUGUCUGGGGCGAAAAAGCUCGAUUUAUCGAGAACUGACGGUACCAGAAGAAUAAGCACCGGCUCACUCCGUGCCAGCAGCCGCGGUAAUACGGAGGGUGCCAGCGUUACCGGGAAUAACGGGUGUUAAGGCGGGUGAAGACGGCAGAGUAGAAAGGCUGUGGCUUAACCAUGGAAUUGCCAUUGAUACUGCAGAGCUUGAAUGAGGUUGAGGUUGGCGGAAUGUGACAUGUAGCGGUGAAAUGCUUAGAUAUGUCAUGGAACACCGAUUGCGAAGGCAGCUGACUGGACCUAUAUUGACGCUGAGGCACGAAAGCGUGGGGAGCGAACAGGAUUAGAUACCCCGGUAGUC
rnacentral:rRNA from 1 species